rnacentral:rRNA from 1 species
GCGGCAGGCUUAACACAUGCAAGUCGAACGGUAACAUGAAGAAGCUUGCUUCUUUGAUGACGAGUGGCGGACGGGUGAGUAAUGCUUGGGAAUCUAGCUUAUGGAGGGGGAUAACUACGGGAAACUGUAGCUAAUACCGCGUAGAAUCGGGAGAUGAAAGUGUGGGACCUUCGGGCCACAUGCCAUAGGAUGAGCCCAAGUGGGAUUAGGUAGUUGGUGAGGUAAAGGCUCACCAAGCCGACGAUCUCUAGCUGGUCUGAGAGGAUGACCAGCCACACUGGGACUGAGACACGGCCCAGACUCCUACGGGAGGCAGCAGUGGGGAAUAUUGCGCAAUGGGGGCAACCCUGACGCAGCCAUGCCGCGUGAAUGAAGAAGGCCUUCGGGUUGUAAAGUUCUUUCGGUAGCGAGGAAGGCAUUUAGUUUAAUAGACUAGGUGAUUGACGUUAACUACAG